ensembl:lncRNA
AAACGCUGUCUGCCCUUUAUCACACCUUCCCAUUGGCCCUGGCUCUGCCUUGUACCAGUCUCCUGAUCUCGAGGUGCUUGGGUCCCCACUGCUUACUGCAGCCCCUGGGAUCCGGAGGGUCCCCUCCCUCCCCACUCAUGUCCUCAGGCACAAGCCCAGCCCUGACCAGGGACCUCAGUGGGGAGUCCUGGGAGUGAGCCCACCCCNCCCCACCCCCACCCCUACUCCACCAGGUAUACAGAGAGCCAGAUCCCCCUCCCUCAGGGGCAGGGGCUUAGGCCUCCACAGGAGAUAAAGCUCUUGUCACAGUGAUGUGGGAGCCCUGGGUCCUGGCGUUGUAACCCUCCCUCGGCCACCCGUCCGGUUAUGGCAGGAGCAGGACCCAGGUCUGCAAGUGACAUUGCUUCGGAGCUGACCAGCUGCGGCCCCAAGGCUGACCUGACUAGAGGGCUGGGAGACCCAAUCUCAGGCUGUGAGGCUCCCACAGCACCCGGGGGCAGUGAGGUGGGGGCAGAUGUCAGGGCACGAGCCUCCCCACACCUCCGAGGAGCACAACCAGCCUGUGGUGAACUCAGGCAGGAGAGCCGCUCCAGACAAGGUGGGAAGUGCACCUGUCUGCAGGAAUCAUCCUGCCCGAGCUGCCUCAGCACAGCAGGGGUCUCAGGGCAGGGGCCCCCUCUGUCUGCCCUUGAAGAGUCAGGCUGGGUGGGAUAGGCGGGGUCUGCUCCCUCCUGCCUCAGGGACCCUCGACAAUCCAGGACCAGGACCUCCAGCUGGCCGUGUGCUGGAUGCCCAGGGAGCUCCCCCCUGAUGUGGGGACCAUCAAGAGCCAUCGGUUCCAGCAACACCUGCAAGUCAGUGUGACCUUCGGGAGCUUGGUGUGGGGCAUCAGGGUGGGCUGAGCUGGAACCCCAUCCUGCAAGUGACUUCACUGCCCUGGCCUCAACUUGCAUUUCUGUAAAAUGGGGAUCCACCUCGCCACAUCACAGGAGUCAUUCAAGCCAGUCCCGAAAGGUUACAUGCCCUGUGAUUCUAUUUACUUGGCGUUCUUGAAAUAAGAAAAUGAAAGAAAUGGAGAGCAGAUCAGCGGUUUCCAGGGGUCAGGGAAGAGGGAGGAAGGGGAGGGGAGGAUGCUUAUGGAAGGAAAACAGAAGACAACCUCGUGGAAAGAAUGGAAAUCGAGGGGGUGCCUGGAUGGCUCAGUCCAUUAAGCAUCUGCCUUCAGCUCUGGUCCUAAUCCUGGGGUCCUGGCUCGGGCUCCCUGCUCGGUGGGGAGUCUGCUUCUCCCUCUGCCCCUCCCCUCACCCCUGCACUUGUGCUCGCUCUCAGAAAAAGAGAAAAAAUAAUAAAAAGUGGAAACCAAGGAAAUGCCUUGCA